AUUUGGUUUCUGUGCAGCGAAUGUGUGAAUUCAGUGUUGCUUAAGUCAUGAAUAUAUGUGCAAGAUUUCAGUCGCAUUAACUGUGUUAAAUCUCUGAUGAGACUGGGGUUUACUUGGUCUGGUACACUGUAUUUUAUCCCAGGGAAUAACCUGGGAUGCCAGUAAUGUUUCAGUUACUGAUUCACAGAACACCAAUACGUGUUAACAUAUACUGUCUUUUUAUACAGCAUUAAAACAAAAUGUCAUCGUCAUCCUCGUCUUUACCUGUACAUAACUGUACUGCUCCCUUAUUGGACUUUGAUCUUCAGGAAAAGUAUCUUCUUCCUCAUGCUACUGAGUUAAACAGUAAAAACCUUGACACUUUGAUGCAGAAAUUAAGUGAAAACGAAACCCGAAACACUAAUCUCAGGAGAAAAAUACUUGAAAGGGAGAAAUAUGUUAAAGAACUUUCAUCCAGACUUCAGCUUGAAAAGGUCAAUGUACAGAAAGAAGGCCACCUGUCAAGAUCAGUAAAGGCAGUACAAGCUCACCUACAGUGUCAGAUUCAAAGAAAAGAAGUGGAAAAUGAUAAACUGAAAGUGAAAAUACAGGUCAACAUAUUUUUUCUUGUGUUUCAGUUUUUUUGAAAAAAUUAGCAAAGUCUUAUUGUGAUCAGAGUUUAACUCAGAUAUGAGAGUUAAAUCUUAGAGUAUCCCUUGAAAUCAAACUCUUGGUGAAAGAAAAAUCCCAAACUGUAAAAAUCAUUAGCAUUUAUAUUUUGCACAGUCAGUCUGCUUGACCACACUAUCUUAAUUGCAAGG
rnacentral:lncRNA from 1 species